CCGUACCGCAAACCGACACAGGUGGGUGAGGAGAGUAUCCUAAGGCCAGCGAGAGAACUGUUGUUAAGGAACUCGGCAAAAUGACCCCGUAACUUAGGGAUAAGGGGUGCCACCAUCAGGUGGCCGCAGAGAAUAGGCCCAAGCGACUGUUUACCAAAAACAUAGGUUUCUGCUAAGUCGCAAGACGAUGUAUAGGAGCUGACGCCUGCCCGGUGCUGGAAGGUUAAGGGGAUCUGUUAGAGCAAUCGAAGCAGUGAACUUAAGCCCCAGUAAACGGCGGCCGUAACUAUAACGGUCCUAAGGUAGCGAAAUUCCUUGUCGGGUAAGUUCCGACCCGCACGAAAGGCGUAACGAUUUGGGCACUGUCUCAACAACAGACUCGGUGAAAUUGUAAUUCCGGUGAAGAUGCCGGAUACCUGCGACAGGACGGAAAGACCCCAUGGAGCUUUACUGUAGCUUGACAUUGGGUCUUGGUACUACAUGUACAGGAUAGGUGGGAGGCUUUGAAACCAGGACGCCAGUUUUGGCGGAGCCAUCCUUGGGAUACCACCCUUGUAGUACUGGGACUCUAACCAUAGGCCAUGAAUCUGGUCUUGGGACACUGUCAGGUGGGCAGUUUGACUGGGGCGGUCGCCUCCCAAAAGGUAACGGAGGCGCUCAAAGGUUCUCUCAGUACGGUCGGAAAUCGUACGUAGAGUGUAAAGGCAAAAGAGAGCUUGAUUGCAAGACAUACAGGUCGAGCAAGGAUGAAAAUCGGACUUAGUGAUCCGGUGGUUCUGCGUGGAAGGGCCAUCGCUCAACGGAUAAAAGCUACCCUGGGGAUAACAGGCUUAUCUCCCCCAAGAGUCCACAUCGACGGGGAGGUUUGGCACCUCGAUGUCGGCUCAUCACAUCCUGGGGCUGUAGUAGGUCCCAAGGGUUGGGCUGUUCGCCCAUUAAAGUGGUACGCGAGCUGGGUUCAGAACGUCGUGAGACAGUUCGGUCCCUAUCCGUCGCAGGCGUAGGAAAUUUGAGAAGACCUGUCCUUAGUACGAGAGGACCGGGAUGGACGUACCUCUGGUGUACCAGUUGUUCUGCCAAGGGCAUGGCUGGGUAGCUAUGUACGGAAUGGAUAAGCGCUGAAAGCAUCUAAGCGCGAAGCCAACUUCAAGAUAAGAUUUCCCACCGCAGGGGUAAGACCCCAGAAAGACUAUCUGGUUGAUAGGUCGAAGGUGUAAGUGCAGCAAUGUAUUUAGCUUAUCGAUACUAAUAGGUCGAGGACUUGACCAA
rnacentral:rRNA from 1 species